rnacentral:antisense_RNA from 2 species
AUUUAUGGUAGCUGUGUGCGGGAGACCUUCGGGUCUGCCGAGGUCUCCUACUCGGUCUUGCAGACCCGCGCACAGCUGCCACCCAU